rnacentral:rRNA from 1 species
GUGUCAGCCGCCGCGGUAAUACGUAGGGGGCAAGCGUUGUCCGGAAUCAUUGGGCGUAAAGCGCGCGUAGGCUGCCCGGUCAGUCCGCUGUGAAAGUCAGGGGCUCAACCCUUGAAUGCCAGUGGAUACUGCCGGGCUAGAGUCCGGAAGAGGCGAGUGGAAUUCCUGGUGUAGCGGUGGAAUGCGCAGAUAUCAGGAGGAACACCAAUAGCGAAGGCAGCUCGCUGGGACGGUACUGACGCUGAGGCGCGAAAGCGUGGGGAGCGAACAGGAUUAGAUACCCCCGUAGUCC